AGCUAACGCGUGAAGUAUCCCGCCUGGGGAGUACGCACGCAAGUGUGAAACUCAAAGGAAUUGACGGGGGCCCGCACAACCGGUGGAGUAUGUGGUUUAAUUCGAUGCAACGCGAAGAACCUUACCAGGGCUUGACAUGUCCGGAAUCCCGGUGAAAGCUGGGAGUGCCUUCGGGAGCCGGUACACAGGUGGUGCAUGUCUGUCGUCAGCUCGUGUCGUGAGAUGUUGGGUUAAGUCCCGCAUCGAGCGCAACCCUCGUCUUUAGUUGCCAGCAUUAAGUUGGGCACUCUAGAGAGUCUGCCGGUGACAGACCGGAGGAAGGUGGGGAUGACGUCAAGUCAGCAUGCCCCUUACGCUCUGGCGAUCACACGUACUACAAUGGUCGGACUAGAGGCNAGCGAACCUGCGAAGGCAAGCUAAUCCCAGCAACUNCGGCCUCAGUUCAGAUCGCAGNCUGCAACUCGCCUGCGUGAAGGAGGAAUCGCUAGUAAUCGCCGGUCAGAUACCGCCGCUGANUCCGUUCCCGGGC
rnacentral:rRNA from 1 species